UUCUUCGGAUUGAAGAGUUUUGCGACUGAGCGGCGGACGGGUGAGUAACGCGUGGGUAACCUGCCUCAUACAGGGGGAUAACAGUUAGAAAUGACUGCUAAUACCGCAUAAGACCACGGUAUCGCAUGGUACAGUGGGAAAAACUCCGGUGGUAUGAGAUGGACCCGCGUCUGAUUAGCUAGUUGGUAAGGUAACGGCUCACCAAGGCGACGAUCAGUAGCCGACCUGAGAGGGUGACCGGCCACAUUGGGACUGAGACACGGCCCAAACUCCUACGGGAGGCAGCAGUGGGGAAUAUUGCACAAUGGGGGAAACCCUGAUGCAGCGACGCCGCGUGAAGGAUGAAGUAUUUCGGUAUGUAAACUUCUAUCAGCAGGGAAGAAAAUGACGGUACCUGACUAAGAAGCCCCGGCUAACUACGUGCCAGCAGCCGCGGUAAUACGUAGGGGGCAAGCGUUAUCCGGAUUUACUGGGUGUAAAGGGAGCGUAGACGGUUAUGUAAGUCUGAUGUGAAAACCCGGGGCUCAACCCCGGGACUGCAUUGGAAACUAUGUAACUAGAGUGUCGGAGAGGUAAGUGGAAUUCCUAGUGUAGCGGUGAAAUGCGUAGAUAUUAGGAGGAACACCAGUGGCGAAGGCGGCUUACUGGACGAUCACUGACGUUGAGGCUCGAAAGCGUGGGGAGCAA
rnacentral:rRNA from 1 species